rnacentral:rRNA from 1 species
UACGUAGGGUGCGAGCGUUGUCCGGAUUUAUUGGGCGUAAAGAGCUCGUAGGCGGUUUGUCGCGUCGGCCGUGAAAUCUCCACGCUUAACGUGGAGCGUGCGGUCGAUACGGGCAGACUUGAGUUCGGUAGGGGAGACUGGAAUUCCUGGUGUAGCGGUGAAAUGCGCAGAUAUCAGGAGGAACACCGGUGGCGAAGGCGGGUCUCUGGGCCUGUACUGACGCUGAGGAGCGAAAGCGUGGGGAGCGAACAGG